AAUAUCCCAAGCUGAAACCUCCACCGUUAGAUCUAACCACACAGUUCCAUCUUACAAGACUUCCUAACAACUCCCCUCAUCUUCUUCUCUGAACCCUAACGACACUUGCGGCCAGAUCUGUCACAAAUUCAAAGAAACAAUGAGUCGCUCCAGCAGGACGCUGUAUGUUGGUAAUCUUCCUGGUGAUAUUCGUGAGCGGGAAGUGGAAGAUUUGUUUUACAAGUAUGGUCCAAUCGCUCGCAUUGAUCUGAAAGUCCCACCAAGACCCCCUGGUUACGCUUUUGUUGAGUUUGAAGAGGCUCGUGAUGCUGAGGAUGCUAUCCGGGGUCGUGAUGGCUAUGAUUUUGAUGGGCAUAGAUUAAGGGUGGAACUUGCUCAUGGUGGCCGUGGCAACUCAUCUUCUACUGACCGUCAUGGUAGUUAUGGCGGUGGGGGUGGUGGUGGUGGUGGCCGUGGUGCUUAUGGAGUUUCUAAAAGAUCCGAUUACCGAGUUUUGGUCACUGGGUUACCCUCUUCUGCUUCAUGGCAAGACCUUAAGGAUCACAUGCGUCUAGCUGGAGAUGUUUGCUUUUCGCAAGUUUUCAAGGAAGGCGGCGGUACCACAGGGAUUGUGGACUAUACAAACUAUGACGACAUGAAAUAUGCUAUACGGAAAUUAGAUGACUCUGAGUUCCGGAAUGCAUUCUCUCGUGGAUUUAUACGCGUGAAGGAGUAUGAUUCAAGUCGCUCUAGGAGCCGCAGUCGUAGCCGCAGCUAUAGCCGUAGUCGCAGCAGGAGCCGGAGCAAAUCCCCAAAAGCAAAAUCUUCUCGUCGCUCAAAAUCUCGUUCAAGGUCGGCAUCUCGUUCUCGUUCAGGAUCAGAGCCUCGUCCAUCAGCAAGAUUGGAUCAAGCGGGAUCAUGUUCAUGGAUAUGGACUGCAAUCAAAAAGCUGGAUUGUGGAUACGCAAUCACUUUUUAACAGCUGGAUCAGCGAUCAUGUGAUAUUGUGAUUGCUUCUCCAAAUGCCACGUAUAAGUCAGCUUUAUUGGCUCUUGGAUCAGAGUAAUUAAGAGGAACUUUUGGAUAUUAAACUCGCUUGUUUCUGGAACUUUUGCAGAUCUCCUUCAAGAUCCAGAUCUCCACCACCGUCUCGCCCAAAGCGUGUCAGUAAAAGCCCCAAAAAGCGCAGUCCUAGCAAGAGCCGGAGCCCGAGCAAAAGCAGGAGCCGUAGCAGGAGCAAGAGUUUAUCGCGGUGAUGGGCGGUUAGACUAUGAAGCAGGAAAAGGUUACUUUGUUGUUUUGUUUUAAGCAAAUUAACCAACAUGGGAUUUUUAUUGUGUUAAAAGAUAUCGGGCAUGCUUGGACUCGCGAAUCCUCAUUGCCUAUUUACAUUUGUUAGACCAAGUUGGAUAAAUUUGUUGAAUUGGUAUGUAUUGUUGAAUAGCUUUAGUGUGUUCUGAUUCGGAGUUUUGCUUUGGUAGAGUCAGUUUAAGACUGCCAAUAGAACCGUCAACUGUGUGGAUGCUUGUUGGCAUGGUUAUUGUUACAUUGUUAUAAAGUUGCUAGAGUACCAGGGCAACCACUAUUA